rnacentral:rRNA from 1 species
GACGAACGCUGGCGGCGUGCUUAACACAUGCAAGUGGUGCGACGAACCAGGGCUUGCCCUGGGGCAGAGCCGCGAACGGGUGAGUAACACGUGGGUAACGUGCCCCGAUGACUGGGACAACCCGGGGAACCCGGGCUAAUACCGGAUGUGCUCCCUCACCUCGGUGAGACGAGCAAAGGAAGCUUCGGCCUCCGCGUUGGGAUCGGCCCGCGGCCCAUUAGCUUGUUGGUGAGGUAACGCNCACCAAGGCUGCGAUGGGUAGCUGGUCUGAGAGGACGAUCAGCCACACUGGGACUGAGACACGGCCCAGACUCCUACGGGAGGCAGCAGUGGGGAAUCUUGCGCAAUGGGCGAAAGCCUGACGCAGCGACGCCGCGUGAGGGAUGACGGCCUGGU